GCAAGUCGAACGGUAACAGGUCCUUCGGGAUGCUGACGAGUGGCGCACGGGUGAGUAACAAGUGAAUCAUCUACCCUUAGGUUGGGACAACCACUGGAAACGGUGGCUAAUACCAGAUGUGUUUCUUCGGAAAGAAAGGUGGCCUCUUCUUGAAAGCCAUCGCCUUUGGAUGAGUUCGCUUCCCAUUAGCUAGUUGGUAGGGUAAUGGCCUACCAAGGCUACGAUGGGUAGCUGGUCUGAGAGGAUGAGC
rnacentral:rRNA from 1 species